ACUUUCGGUAAACGGUUUCCAUUUGUUUUUCACACCCUUGAUACCGAUGUAGUGCGAGUCGCUCCAUUUCUAACCAAAAAAAAAAUUGAUUCUCUCCCUACUCUGUGCUCCUCUGUGUCGUCUUCUCCAGUUGAAGUUGCCGACCUCGCCCCCCGUCUUCUGGGGGAACCUUUUAUUCAUUGGUGAAGUUUCUCUGCAACCAAAUAAAUCUGUGUGAUCCAUCUUUAGAGAACAUGAGUUUUUAUGUUAGUAGUAAGAUCAUUACUCUCUCUUAUAUUGAUCUAUGUGCCACUUAUAUUGACCUUGAGCCCCAAUUUAACCACCUCUGUUUCUCUUCUCUUUUCUUUUCUUUUCUUUUUUUCUCUUCUGUUUGGUGUUUACAAUCUUAGCUCAGGGUUUUCGUUUGUUCAAUUCCAGUUCUACUCCAAAUCAUUUUUUCAUUCGUGGAUUCAAUUUACAAAAUAAAAUAAACUUUUUGUUAGAGUCCAUUGCAGAUAAAAGAUUACUCCACACUCUGGUUCUGCAAGUAGGCUUGGUCCAGGCUGCAGCUUCAUGUUCAAUGACUGGGACAGAUUACUAUCCAUUGCAGAUGAAAGGUGUUUUGACUGCACCAUAAGGGUACCUGGAAAGGAGGGUGACCAACAUGCAAGAAAAAUUGGAAUUGGGUUAGACCAGCCCCUGAAUCCUCUCCCGCGGCUGGAAGGAGCCAACUAUGUGUUGGGGUGUGUGUCCAGAUUCUCACAGCCGCCGAGAGGAUCUGGACUCAACCUAUUCUGAGUUUUCGAGGAAUGUUGAGAGAGAAAAGACGUUUUCAUGUCGACUAUGUUCUCAAGAAAACUUUUGGUUUGAUUAUGAUUUAUGAUGAUGCAGAACCUACAUGAUAUCAUUUGGCUUUCGUCACUCAGCAGUCAUGAUUGAUCUCGAUUCUUGGUUGAUAUUAUAUCAGUUAAUCGAUACGGACAAAGGAUAAAAUAGCCUAAAAAUCCGUCUUUUUAAUAUAAACCAGCAGUAUUUCUAUUGA